GCAGUGAUGGUGGGUAAUAAAUUUGAUAAAAGCCCUUUGUCGGUUGAAAACCCAUUUGUUUACACUCUUCCCUCGCCGCUCCUCCCUUGGCGCGCCUCUCUCUCUCUCUCCCCGAUCCUGCGCUCGCCACAAAUACGAAUAUUAUGGCAAAUAGCAAUUUACCGAGACGAAUUAUCAAGGAAACGCAGCGUCUUCUCAGUGAACCAUCGCCUGGAAUUAGCGCGUCGCCUUCGGAAGACAACAUGCGGCAUUUUAAUGUGAUGAUACUUGGCCCUGCACAAUCCCCGUAUGAAGGAGGCGUAUUCAAGUUGGAAUUGUUUCUACCUGAAGAUUAUCCAAUGGCACCACCUAAGGUUCGCUUUUUGACUAAAAUAUACCAUCCCAACAUUGACAAGCUGGGAAGGAUAUGUCUUGACAUUCUGAAAGACAAAUGGAGUCCAGCUCUCCAGAUCCGAACAGUUUUAUUAAGUAGUUCUUAACAAAUAUGUGGAUGAAGCUAAUACCAAGACCUUGUCUGAAUUCAGCAUACAAGCUCUUCUUAGUGCGCCAAAUCCAGAUGAUCCACUUGCGGAUAACAUUGCGAAGCAUUGGAAGUCAAAUGAGUCUGAGGCUGUUGAAACAGCAAAGGAAUGGACUAGUGCAUACGCAACUGGUGCAUGACAAAGAAGGCAGGAUAUCGUGGUUAAAAAGGAUUUUGGCAACUCUUGUUGUAUGUUUAAUUGACAGGCAAGUUUGUCGUUUGAGUAAUAGAUGAAUUAGUCUUUCAAACUAAUGUACCAUUGGUGUCCCUAAAACUUCCGCAUUCAGCUGUAGUUUACUAUUUUCCGGUUUAGAAGGCUUGCUUUAAAUAUGUACAGCCGCCUUGCUAUAUUUUGUUAUAAAUUUAGUGGUAAGGUACACUUCUAUAGAUUGCUUGUCAUACAUUUUAGGGAUAAUUAUAGAAGCCUCCUUUAAGGUUUUUGACAA